rnacentral:ncRNA from 1 species
UAUUAAGGGCAAACCUGCUGAAAGGCAGGGACGCAAAGCUUAGGGUCUAACCCGUUUGAUAAAAACGGUAUGGCAGCCAGUUGCUG